rnacentral:rRNA from 1 species
CCUACGGUGGGCAGCAGUGGGGGAUAUUGCACAAUGGGGGAAACCCUGAUGCAGCGACGCCGCGUGUGGGAAGACGGUCCUCUGGAUUGUAAACCACUGUCCCCAGGGACGAAGAUGACGGUACCUGGGGAGGAAGCUCCGGCUAACUACGUGCCAGCAGCCGCGGUAAUACGUAGGGAGCGAGCGUUGUCCGGAAUUACUGGGUGUAAAGGGAGCGUAGGCGGGACUGCAAGUUGGGUGUCAAAUCUACCGGCUCAACCGGUAGCCGCACUCAAAACUGCAGUUCUUGAGUGAAGUAGAGGCAGGCGGAAUGCCUAGUGUAGCGGUGAAAUGCGUAGAGAUUAGGAGGAACACCAGUGGCGAAGGCGGCCUGCUGGGCUUUUACUGACGCUGAGGCUCGAAAGUGUGGGGAGCAAACAGGAUUAGAUACCCCGGUAGUC